CUGUGCUCAGUCACUGGAGCAGUCCAAGUGACACAUUUGACAAGGCAGAACACGAAAUUUAUCUCUUUAAUAUGGAGCAUUUUGCCAGGGAGGCUGAGUUUUGGAGCAAACUAAUGACUGUCAGGUGACCUGAAUCGGUGGACAUUCGUGAGACUGCCACACUUCACAGCGUUCUGCACAAAGGGAGAACUCAAUACGAGUUGACUGCUUACCAGAAUGGAACAUUCUGACGUUUCAGAACAACAAGCUCAGCUUGAGGUGUUUCAAAAAGGCAUGCAUCAAAUGUCACAAAGUUGUUAUAAGAGAUUCAACAGCUUUCA